GAGCGCGUCCCCGGCGCGGCUGCUCGGAGCGGGGCGCGCGGGCAGGGCGGGGUCAGCGGCCUGCGCCCGCUCCGCAGACGCCGUGUGCGGCCCCUGGGCUGGGACACUGCCGUGGGCUGGGGCACUGCCGUGGGCUGGGACACUGCCGUGGGCUGGCUGGCCUUGACGGCUCAUCCAUCUCUUCCGACAUAAGUGAUGCUGUCACUGUCUGACUGUUCGUGUGGGUUCCGGCUGCGGCGGCGGCUGGGCGGAGGAGGUUUCAGAGCUCGCAGCCGCACUCCCCGUUACUGUGGGGGCACCAGGAGCCAGCGCCGAGCGGGAAGGGCGGAUUUGGCGCUCCCCGAGGAUCUCCGGGGGAAAGAAGAAUUUCCUGGUCCAACUUAGUUCAUCACCAUUGCUGUGUUUAUGUCAAAGUGAUGCAAACAGUAGGAAGGUACCCAAUAGAGUGUGAAGCUACAGUCCCAAAGACAGUUCUUGAUUUCUUUCAAUAAAGCUGACACAAUCCGCUAUA